rnacentral:tRNA from 1 species
GGAGAGAUGGCCGAGCGGCUGAAGGCGCGAUCCUUGAAAGAUCGAUUGGAUUUAAUUCAUCCAACGGGGGUUCAAAUCCCUCUCUCUCCG